rnacentral:rRNA from 1 species
GACGAACGCUGGCGGCGUGCCUAAUACAUGCAAGUAGGACGCAGUUGCGAACGGGUGAGUAACGCGUAGGUAACUACCUAUUAGAGGGGGAUAACUAUUGGAAACGAUAGCUAAUACCGCAUACUAGUAGAUGGACCUGCGUUGUAUUAGCUAGUAGGUAGGGUAAUGGCCUACCAAGGCAACGAUACAUAGCCGACCUGAGAGGGGUAUCGGCCACACCGGGACUGGGACAAGGGCCAGGCUCCUUAGGGAGGCCGGAGUAGGGAAUCUUCGGCAAUGGGGGGAACGCUGACCGAGCAACGCCGCGGGAGUGAAGAAGGUUUUCGGAUCGUAAAGCUCUGUUGUUAAGGGAGCGGUACUUAACCAGAAAGGGACGGCUAACUACGUGCCAGCAGCCGCGGUAAUAC